rnacentral:rRNA from 1 species
ACUCCUACGGGAGGCAGCAGUGGGGAAUUUUGGACAAUGGGCGAAAGCCUGAUCCAGCAAUGCCGCGUGAGUGAAGAAGGCCUUCGGGUUGUAAAGCUCUUUUGUCAGGGAAGAAACGGUGAAAGCUAAUAUCUUUUGCUAAUGACGGUACCUGAAGAAUAAGCACCGGCUAACUACGUGCCAGCAGCCGCGGUAAUACGUAGGGUGCAAGCGUUAAUCGGAAUUACUGGGCGUAAAGCGUGCGCAGGCGGUUUUGUAAGUCUGAUGUGAAAUCCCCGGGCUCAACCUGGGAAUUGCAUUGGAGACUGCAAGGCUAGAAUCUGGCAGAGGGGGGUAGAAUUCCACGUGUAGCAGUGAAAUGCGUAGAUAUGUGGAGGAACACCGAUGGCGAAGGCAGCCCCCUGGGUCAAGAUUGACGCUCAUGCACGAAAGCGUGGGGAGCAAACAGGAUUAGAAACCCCAGUAGUCCCAUGA